rnacentral:misc_RNA from 1 species
GAUGAAGAACGUAGUGAAAUGCGAUACUUGGUGUGAAUUGCAGAAUCCCGUGAACCAUCGAGUCUUUGAACGCAAGUUGCGCCCGAAGCCACUAGGCCGAGGGCACGCCUACCUGGGCGUCACACGCCGUUGCCCCCCCAUCUACUCCUUCGGGAUUGCGGGGGGGCGGAUGAUGGCCUCCCGUGCGCCUAGCCGCGCGGUUGGCAUAAAUACCAAGUCCUCGGCGACGCACGCCACGACAAUCGGUGGUUGCGAAACCUCGGUUGCCCGUCGUGUGCGUUCGUCGCGCAUCGAGGGCUCGAAAAAAUGCUCGGCUCCGGCUGGGCUUUCAACGCGACCCCAGGUCAGGCGGGGUUACCCGCUGAAUUUAAGCAUAUCAAUAAGCGGAGGA